ACGGUGAAGAGGAGCUUGCUCCUCAGAACAGUGGCGGACGGGUGAGUAACACGUGAGCAACCUGGCUCUAAGAGGGGGACAACAGUUGGAAACGACUGCUAAUACCGCAUAACGUAUCGGGAUGGCAUCUUCCUGAUACCAAAGAUUUUAUCGCUUAGAGAUGGGCCCGCGUCUGAUUAGAUAGUUGGCGGGGUAACGGCCCACCAAGUCGACGAUCAGUAGCCGGACUGAGAGGUUGAACGGCCACAUUGGGACUGAGACACGGCCCAGACUCCUACGGGAGGCAGCAGUGGGGGAUAUUGGACAAUGGGGGCAACCCUGAUCCAGCGACGCCGCGUGAGGGAAGAAGGUUUUCGGAUUGUAAACCUCUGUUGACGGAGAAAAAAAUGAUGGUAUCCGUUUAGAAAGCCACGGCUAACUACGUGCCAGCAGCCGCGGUAAUACGUAGGUGGCAAGCGUUGUCCGGAAUUACUGGGUGUAAAGGGAGUGUAGGCGGGAUGUCAAGUCAGAAGUGAAAAUUACGGGCUCAACUCGUAACCUGCUUUUGAAACUGACAUUCUUGAGUGAAGUAGAGGCAAGCGGAAUUCCUAGUGUAGCGGUGAAAUGCGUAGAUAUUAGGAGGAACACCAGUGGCGAAGGCGGCUUGCUGG
rnacentral:rRNA from 1 species